GAUGAAGAACGUAGCGAAAUGCGAUAAGUAAUGUGAAUUGCAGAAUUCAGUGAAUCAUCGAAUCUUUGAACGCACCUUGCGCUCUUUGGUAUUCCGAAGAGCAUGCCUGUUUGAGUGUCAUGAAAAUAUCAACCUUGACUUGGGUUUUGUGCUCUAGUCUCGGCUUGGAAUUGGGUGCUUGCCGCUUUUACGAGCGGCUCACCUUAAAUGUAUUAGCUGGAUCUGUCUUUGAGACUUGGUUUGACUUGGCGUAAUAAGUAUUUCGCUAAGGACAUUCUUCGGAGUGGCCUCGUUUCUAGGACGCUUGUCCGCUUUCCAAUACAAGUUCCACCUCGUGGACAUGACUUUUUAUUAUCUGGCCUCAAAUCAGGUAGGACUACCCGCUGAACUUAAGCAUAUCCAUAAGCGGAGGA
rnacentral:misc_RNA from 1 species